ACAAAAGCUAAGAAAGCGAAAAGUAAACAGUGCUGUUAUCACAGAGAGAAAAUGUCACCGGCUGAAAGCAUUUUUGAUAAAACAGAUUGUUGAAGUUCCCGCUGGAGCUGAUUUUUUGAACAAUGUAAAAUUCAGUAGGAAAAUCCGUGUGCUGUGCGUUAUGCAGUAAAAAGUGCCUGUAUAUUUUGUAUGCAGGAAUUUGGGUGGUACCACGGAAAACAAUAACAUUCGUCCCUUUU
rnacentral:ncRNA from 1 species